CGGUCUGUCACCUGUGCAUCUGUCAGUGCGAAGACUUCCAGUGUAGACACUAUUUUGACUCUGAAAUCAUUCAUUUGACUUCAUUUAAUGCUACUAAGCUAUGACCUGCACUUUUUUUUUUUUUAAUUCAAGCAACUUUUAAUUACCCGAACACCAUCUAGUUAGCUAGUUGUUGCUAACAAACUGGCUGUGCUAGCCCCUCACCAUGUUUUGAUGUUUCCGACCAACGUGUUCACAACGGACGCUAGCAGAUUCCAGGAACCAGCAGCAGAGGAGACAGGUGGAGCUGCGGGUUCUCAGUCACUAGGUGCAGAAAACCAGUUACCAGUAGCAGCACAGAGGCAGAUGAGAGAGGGCAACAGGGUCCCAGGCAGUAUAUUCAACGCCACGGCUGCUCUGGAGGGACAUCUGUUUGCCCAGAGACUCAACAAUCCCAGCGUGCCUGGCUGUUGCCCAAGCUUGGGUAUGUUUCUUUUUCCUACCUGCUGUCUACUUGUUUGCAGACCAGUCAUCAUCUUCUCAUUUACGGCAUUUAUAGAGAGGAUGUACAAAGAGAGAGUUGAUACACAAAUGACCAUGUACCUCCAUUGUGAUGACACAAACACAUGCUUAAAUACACAUACAGUAUAUUGUUUGUAUCAACAAAUAUUCACAAUGCUACGAGCCCAAGACAACAUGAAUGGAAAAUGAUGAACUCUCAGCAUGAACAGUUUAUUGUGAUAGCUUUGAAAGACCUCUGUGUCUAUGUAUACACACAUGUACACAAGAGAGAAGAGCUUUAUC